AUGCCAGAACUCUCCUCUCACACGCCACCUCUCCUUCACGCGACCUCUCCCCACCCGAUGGCACGCCGCCGCCGCUGCUCCAUCCCCUCCCGGCGCAGCAGCUGCUCCGUCGUCUCUCCUCAGUACUCCAGUAGGUUGUAGUGACUGGGAAAGGCGACGAGGGGUCGAGGCCAUUGGUGCUGGAUCUCCUGGCGGCGUACCGAUGGAUUCGGUCGAUGGGGAAAAGAACAGCACCACUGUGGCGAGGGCAAACCCUAGCGUGGUAGAUUCACGUGUUGAAGCUUUUGUGGUGAUGGGAUUAAUUAUGUGCCUUCAGUACCAACAAUGAAUGUUGAUGAAUCCACUGUAUAUUCUUGGAAUUAAGCGUCCUGUUCAGCAAUUCGUGUCAGAGCAGGACCUUUUCUUCAAUGGAGCUGUUACAGCUAAUCUGAGGAAGCUAGCAAAUAUUUUCUGUGGUGUAGCUCACCUCCUGUAGCAUGCUAUGGUGUUUUCUUCUUCAGCUUAACCUGUUCUGCCACUACUAAAUGGAGAGAUACAUUGUCAGUUCUCUUUCUACACAUCUAAUAGCUCUUUAUAUUGUUACUGAAAAGAGGUAGAUUGCAACUUCUCACGUCCAUGAUGAAAGAUGAAGUUGCUCUAGAGAUUUGAGUAUUCUAUUAAAUUAUGGGAUUUUGAAAUGGCCGGAGAAUAUUUUGUAACCUGCUUAAGUGUUAAGAACAAAGAUUCCAAGUUGUUAGCCUUUGGUGAUUGCAAGUUUGUAUAUUUGCCAGAUUGGAUGUUUACCAAGGAUUCUUUCCAUGGGCAUUGGAAGGUAGGAAAUCACAGCUAUUCCUAUCAUAGACCAGGUAAUUUAUUGCUACUGCAAAAACUAUCAAAUAAUCAUAGAACUGGAGGAAUAUGAGACAGUGUUGGUCCCUACUCUUUUCAACUCAUAUACAACUUCUUAUGUUCCUCUACAAUAGUUAAAUGUUUGCACCAAUGCUUCCUUUGGAAUUUGAAGAGAUAUACUGUAUCAUGUUUAGAUCAUAUCAAGGGACUGUUUAUGUCUUGGUUUGUUACUCAUUUUCCAUAACUUUGUGUGUUUUGUCUCUCCUAUCAAUUCUCAGUGUUACAAAAUUGACGCAUAAUAGUAUUGUUAGUAAAUACUCUUCUUGAGUAAAAGUAAUCAUAUCUUUGUUAAAUUGGCUGCAUAAAAAAACCAGUGAAUUUUCUAUUUAGCCGAGCUGUUAAAUGUGUUGGAUCGCAUGAGAAUUUUUGAUGUCUGCAUACAACGCCUUAGUUUAAUGGUCUGCUGCAAGUGGGUAUAUUUUAAUUCUUUGCGGCACAGAGUAGCACACACAUACUUUCACAAUAAAAUUUUAAUUUUUUCAUCAUUGUAAUUUUCUUAUCAUUUAUAUGAUUGGCGCAACAUGAGUUUAUGUAGCGCGCAGCUAUUCAAUGCACAUUUCUAGAAACAAGCUUGCCAUGGACCAACUAUCCCACAGGUUAUGCACCGUAAGUUGUUGUUGAUGUUCAGUGAGCCAAGGUAUUCUUUCCUAUGAAGAGGGAAACACGACCUUCUGUUUAACUAUAUUGGAUUGCUCAAACUUCUUGCUGAUGAAUUCAUAUAUGAGACUACGGCUAUAUGUGCGGGGAGUGCUCAAACUUCUUGCUGAUGACUUCAUAUAUGAGACCACGGCUAUAUGUGUGGACUUGAAAAUAACCAGCUAGAUGCUUAAACCAUAUUAUGACCAGCUGACAUGCAAGUCUGUGUCAACAGGUGGUUCUGCUCUUUAAAACCAUCUGUAAUGACUCUCCUAGACCCCUUCCAUUAGAAGUAGCAAGGACAAGACAACGACAACUCUGAAUCAUCUCAAAGAAUAUGGCUAUGAUGGGAAAGGUUGUUCUAAGAUAUGGAGACCAGUAGCACAUUGUCACCGUCGCCUAGCUAAGAUUUUGCAAUACACUGGAGAAAACGAGGAAGGCCGAUGCUCUUUAUUUUGUUUCACAUUGUCUUGGGAAUUACUAUAGAGCGUAACUAUAUUUACCUAUCAGAUUUUUUUUUGAUGCUACCUGUUCAUUUUGCAUAUUGUUGUAAGUUUGAUCAUAAGCAGAUACGGACUAGAUUUCAUACUACAGUGCAAAUCUUGUGACUUUGAACAAAAGAAGCAUGCACAAUUAGACUAUUACACAACAUUGUAUUACAGGGCAACUUCGUGUGCCAGUUUCUGUUACCACUAUUGAAAUGUACCUAUAUCUUAUGCCAUGAUUUUUAUACCUGCCUUCUUAUUUGUCUCUAUUGUUACAUUUUGCUGCCGGGGUUUCUUAGUGUCUCGAAGUACCGUUUUACUAAGUUGUGCAACAAGCCCUAGCUUGCUAUUGGGAACUGCUGGUGCUUGCAUCUAUUUAGCUGACCCCAGGUCCAGGUACAUCUGCCUCUUGCCCGUGGAGACAAACUUGAUGCAGCUACUGACAUCUCCAGGCGUUGUGAUUAGCAUGCACCUGACCGGCGAGGAGGCGCCCCAAGAAACGCUUCUGACGAUUGUGAACGAUAUGUUUCUCCACAUCAAAGGAAAAGACAAGUUGGAGUCAGUUGAAUCUUCAAAUGGAGAGCCCGAUCCUCACACAUAAAGGCGAUGCUGCAUCGUAGUUCAUUAGACACAUAUUUAUUGUUCUUGCUCUUGAUCAGAAUGGUCAACAUGAUAUUCUUGCAAAUCUCUGUUGAACCAUACUCAACCUAUAGCUACUUUUUUUUGGGUGUAUUUUACUUCAUACAUUGAUCUUACGUUUGUAGCUACACCAACACUCAUUCAAGAUAAUUGUGGUUAAGUUGUAAUUCAUUACUUGUUGAGUACUCGGUCAA